GACGAACGCUGGCGGCGUGCCUAAUACAUGCAAGUUGAGCGCUGAAGGUUGGUACUUGUACCAACUGGAUGAGCAGCGAACGGGUGAGUAACGCGUGGGGAAUCUGCCUUUGAGCGGGGGACAACAUUUGGAAACGAAUGCUAAUACCGCAUAGAAACUUUAAACACAAGUUUUAAGUUUGAAAGAUGCAAUUGCAUCACUCAAAGAUGAUCCCGCGUUGUAUUAGCUAGUUGGUGAGGUAAAGGCUCACCAAGGCGAUGAUACAUAGCCGACCUGAGAGGGUGAUCGGCCACAUUGGGACUGAGACACGGCCCAAAACUCCUACGGGAGGGCAGCAGUAGGGAAUCUUUCGGGCAAUGGGACGAAAAGUCUGACCCGAGCAAACGCCGCGUGAAGUGAAGAAAGGUUUUUCGGAU
rnacentral:rRNA from 1 species